GGGGUCUAACGAGCGUGCGAGUCAAUCGGAAAUUAACUUUAAACCCAAAGGCGGAACGAAACCGAGUGGGGCGACUAGACUCGUUUAGGAGGAUGGUCGCAUCUUAGCCGGUCGUCUCGCCACGGCAGAUCUGCGACGCGCGACUUCGAAGACGCACCUUUAGCACGCACGCUGGGACCCGAAAGAUGGUGAACUAUGCCUGGUCAGGACGAAGUAAGGGGAAACCCUGAUGGCGGUCCGCACCGAUUCUGACGUGCACUCGAUCGUCAGAACUGGGUAUAGGGGCGAAAGACCAAUCAAACCGUCUAGUAGCUGGUUCCUUCCGAAAUUUCUCUCAGGAAGCUGGCGCUCGCAGAGCGAGAAAUUAUAAAUUCUCAUGCGAUAAAGUGAAUGAUUAGAGCGAAUCGGGGUCGAAAUGACCUCUACCUAUUUUCAAACUUUAAAUGUGUGAGAUCUCCGGCUUGACAGAUUAACGAAGCAACGAGAUCGGAUCUAGAGUGCCAAGUGGGUCAUUUUUGGUGCUGUGGGAUUAACCAAACGCGAAGUUAAAGCGCUCAAAUCGACGUUCAUGGAAAACCAUGAAAGGCGUUGGUAACUCAGAACAGCAGGGCGAUGACCAUGGAA
rnacentral:rRNA from 1 species